GACGAACGCUGGCGGCGUGCCUAAUACAUGCAAGUAGAACGCACAGUUUAUACCGUAGCUUGCUACACCAUAGACUGUGAGUUGCGAACGGGUGAGUAACGCGUAGGUAACCUGCCUGGUAGCGGGGGAUAACUAUUGGAAACGAUAGCUAAUACCGCAUAAUAUUGAUUAUUGCAUGAUAAUUAAUUGAAAGGUGCAAUUGCACCACUACCAGAUGGACCUGCGUUGUAUUAGCUAGUAGGUGAGGUAACGGCUCACCUAGGCGACGAUACAUAGCCGACCUGAGAGGGUGGUCGGCCACACUGGGACUGAGACACGGCCCAGACUCCUACGGGAGGCAGCAGUAGGGAAUCUUCGGCAAUGGACGAAAGUCUGACCGAGCAACGCCGCGUGAGUGAAGAAGGUUUUCGGAUCGUAAAGCACUGUUGUAAGAGAAGAAAGGGUGUGAGAGUGGAAAGUUCACACUGUGACGGUAUCUUACCAGAAAGGGACGGCUAACUACGUG
rnacentral:rRNA from 1 species